rnacentral:lncRNA from 10 species
GUUCACAGUAGGGUUCACGCUGCUAUGAGAAUCAAAUGUCCCGCUGAUCCGACAGGAGGUGAAGCUCAGGCGGUAAUGGCUGGCCUGUUGCUCACCUCCUGCUGUGCGGCCAGGCUCGCCACAGACCUAUAGGAUCUGCCGCCCGGGGCUGGGGACGCCUGCUCUAGAGCACUAGGGAUUCCAUGCAGAAAAUUGAAACUGGACCCGUUCCUUACACCUUAUACAAAAAUUAACUCAAGAUGGAUUAAAGACUUCAACGUAAGACCUGAAACCAUAAAAACCCUGGAGGAAAAUCUAGGCAAUACCAUUCAGGACAUAGGCAUGGGCAACAACUUCAUGACUAAAACACCAAAAGUAAUGGCAACAAAAGCCAAAAUUGACAAAUGGGAUUUAAUUAAACUAAAGAGCUUCUGCACAGCAAAAUAAACUAACAUCAGAGUGAAUAGGCAAUGUAUAGAAUGGGAGAAAAUUUUUGAAAUCUAUCCAUCGGACAAAGGGGCAAUAUCCAGAAUCUACAAGGAACUUAAACAAAUUUACAAGAAAAAAAACAACCAACCACAUCAAAUAGUGGGCAAAGGAUAUGAACAGACACUUCUCAAAGAGGACAUUUAUGUGGCAAAGAAACAUGAAAAAAAACUCAUCAUCACUGGUCAUUAGAGAAAUACAAAUCAAAACCACGAUGAGAUACCCUCUCACUCCAGUUAGAAUGAUGAUCAUUAAAAAGUCAGGAAACAACAGACCCUGGAGAGGAUGUGGAAAAAUCAGAAUGCUUUUAUACUGUUCGUGGGAGUGUAAAUUAGUUGAACCAUUGUGGAAGACAGUGUGGCGAUUCCUCAAAGAUCUAGAACAGAAAUACCAUUUGACCCAGCAAUCCCAUUACUAGGUAUAUACCCAAAGGAUUAUAAAUCAUUCUACUAUAAAGAUACAUGCACAUGUACAUUAAUUGAGGCACUCUUCACAACAGCAAAGACUUGGAACCAACCCAAAUGUUCAUCAAUGGUAUACUGGAUAAAGAAAAUGUGGUAUAUAUUCACCAUGGAAUACAAUGCAGCCACAAAAAAUGAUGAGUUUAUGUCCUUUUCAGGGACAUGGAUGAAGCUGGAAAUCAUCAUUCUCAGCAAACUCACACAGGAACAGAAAACAAAACACCGCAUGUUCUCACUCAUAAGGGGAGUUCAACAAUAAGAACACAUGGACACAGGCAUGGGAACAUCACACACCAGGGCCUGUCUGGGGAUGGGGGGCUAGGGGAGGCAUAGCAUUAGAAGAAAUAUGUAAUGUAGAUGAUGGGUUGAUGUGUGCAGCAAACCACCAUGGCACGUGUAUACCUAUGUAAAAAACCUGCACGUUCUACAUAUGUAUCCCAGAACUUAAAGUAUAAUAAAAAAAAAAUUUUCUCUAUUUCUGUCAGGGAUAUUGGCCUGAAAUUUUCUUUUUUGUUGUGUCUCUGUCAACUUUUAUUAAACCUGUGAUUUUAAAAGCAAACGUUCUUAAUUUUGAUCAAGG